rnacentral:rRNA from 1 species
UACCAGCACCCCGAGUGGUCGGGACGUUUAUUGGGCCUAAAGCAUCCGUAGCCGGUUCUACAAGUCUUCCGUUAAAUCCAACUGCUUAACAGGUGGGCUGCGGAAGAUACUAUAGAGCUAGGAGGCGGGAGAGGCAAGCGGUACUCGAUGGGUAGGGGUAAAAUCCGUUGAUCCAUUGAAGACCACCAGUGGCGAAGGCGGCUUGCCAGAACGCGCUCGACGUUGAGGGAUGAAAGCUGGGGGAGCAAACCGG